UUAUUGUGUACCUAAAAUUGGAACAGAGUAUAAAUACCGCGUAUGAAGUGAUUGACAACCUGUUAAUUUCUGAUACUGGCACAGUUUAGAGGUUAAGUGAGCUAUUUUGUCAACGUUUUUUAUCAUAAUGAAGUACUUAACUGUGUUUAUUUUUUUUAUAAGUGCUCUCGUGUUAGUGGAAAAUGUCACAUUGACUGCGAUUAAAGAUUUAAUAGAAAUGUCUAAUAUGAAGAACGUUUUUGACCAUGAAAAUGCCGUCGUCGUUGUUAAAAAUCAAGAAUAUUUGCAUAUACCAACAAGAUUGAAUGAUUGCACCAACACAGCAUGCGGUUACAUUUGUGAACUACUUGGGUAUCACUACGGAAAAUGUCUAUCUGCUAACACUUGCAGUUGUUAUAACUAGAACAGUUACCGAAGACACCAAAGUUGAAAAAACGUCAUAAAGAAAGAAAAAAAGAAAAAGCAUUUAUUCAACAAGAGACAUAUCGUUUCUGAAUACACAUUACGCGCGACAUCGCCACCCCUGCGGUGCCGCUGCCCUAGCUUUCCUCCGAUUUGUAUGGAGCUAUACAUAGUCGCGGGUAUGCAGCAAGAUGCAUGUAUAAAUGUACCGAGACGGCGCGGGCGGUGCCGCUGCGGCGUUGUGUAUAAACGGCCUUAGUAUGAGUUUGCUUUAAAUUUAAAGUAAUUGAAACAAGAACGCAUUCGGUGCUCUGAUUGGUUGGUUUAUUCGAGCCCGCCAAUCUUAACUCCGAACGCUGGUAGGCUAUUUUAUAACUGUCAAUUCGAACUUUCAAAGUAAGCUCGAUCGUGUUCUCGCCCGUCAUUGGUCGAGAUUAUUCUCACAACCAAUGAUGUGGCGCACCGCAAUUGAGUUUACUUCGAUCUUUCAAAAUGAAAGAUACACAAUAGCCUAACAUAUUAGGUAGUGGUUAAACAUAUUAGAUACGUGCAGUUGUGUAUAAUGUAUACAUAAGUAACAAAUACAAAAAAAAUAUUGUUUUUAUAAGACAUUGUGUCAUGUGAUGUAUUAAAUUAAAUUAGUUUUUAAAUAAUUUAA